AUUUGCAUGCGGCGGAAGCAUGGCGUAUGUAAACAAGUUGGGAGCGCUUGUAACACCUAGGUAGCGAUGCUAGGUAUUGGUAUCCGCUCUGCCUGUUUCUGACAUGGAAACUGGCAGCAAAAUGUCCAAAGGGGAUGACAAGCUACUGGGAGUUCAGCAAUCAGAGAUGUCCAGAUGUGGUGGUGAAGUGCGGCCUGCCCCUGACACUAUGCAUUGUUCAGAGAAACAGCUCAGCACCAUCCGCUAAAAACUUCACACACUUCCAGGUCAAGGACAAGAAGAUUCUGGUCUGACACCAAAGUUGACAACUCGAGAAGAACAAUGCAGAUAUCAUGCUACUGGGAGUCCCCGGUAUUGCAGGGAAAUGGUUGAGAUGAACAAACUGUACCAUAACUAUCGAAGAUCACUGACACAGCUUCAGACCACCACAAACUUUAAGAUCCUGACGCUUACAGCUUUGGGUGCAUUUCUUAAACAACACAGAACUGGAAGUAGACUUAGUAGAGAACACUGGGAUUCAUAGUUUCUCCAUGCAUAAUUAUCCGACUUACACUUAAAAUCCUCGUAUUAGAGUGUGCAUUUACGGCUUGCAUUUACUACAACCUGUUCUUCUUGCUGUUUGCUCAGUUUCAACCACAAAUUUUGAAACAGCUUUGGCUAUACAGAGGGCGUGCGUUAGUGACAUUCCUGCUGAAAUUCUGCACCAGUAGAGGUGCAGCAAUGAGUGUCGAGGACCUUCAGCAUGUGGACUACCUUGAGAACCAGGUGGUAGGCAUGGACAGCUUCAUCCACAGAAUCGACUCCGCCGAGGUCAUCUACCAGCCGAGAAGGAAGCGAGCCAAACUGAUAGGGAGGUACCUGAUGGGCGACCUGCUCGGGGAGGGAUCCUACGGCAAAGUUAAAGAGAUGCUUGACUCUGAAACACUGUGUAGGAGGGCCGUGAAGAUUCUCAAGAAGAAGAAGCUCAGAAGGAUCCCUAAUGGAGAGGCAAAUGUUAAAAAGGAGAUCCAGCUGCUGCAAAGGUUGCGACACAAGAAUGUAAUUCAGUUGGUGGAUGUGUUGUAUAAUGAGGAGAAGCAGAAGAUGUAUAUGGUGAUGGAGUAUUGUGUGUGUGGAAUGCAAGAAAUGCUGGACAGUGUCCCUGAGAAGAAGUUCCCUGUGUAUCAAGCCCAUGGUUAUUUCUGCCAGCUGCUGGAUGGUUUGGAGUAUUUGCACAGCCAGGGCAUUGUUCACAAGGACAUCAAACCAGGGAACCUGUUGCUGACCACGGAUGGAGCGCUCAAAAUCUCUGACCUGGGUGUUGCAGAAGCUCUGGAGCCAUUUGCGGUGGAUGACACAUGUAGGACGAGCCAGGGCUCUCCGGCGUUCCAGCCCCCAGAGAUUGCCAACGGCCUGGACACCUUCUCAGGGUUCAAGGUUGACAUCUGGUCAGCAGGUGUCACACUAUACAACAUCACAACCAGUUUGUACCCAUUUGAAGGUGAUAACAUAUACAAGCUUUUUGAGAACAUUGGGAGAGGAGAGUACAGUAUCCCUGCAGGCUGUGGCCCACUCCUCUCAAGCCUGCUCAGAGGAAUGCUUGAAUAUGACCCUGCAAAGAGGUUCUCAAUACAGCACAUCAGACAGCAUAACUGGGUGAGGAAGAGGCACCCAGCCACGGAGCCCCCCGUGCCCAUGCCACCCAGCGCCGACCGCAGGGACCCCUGGCGCAGCAUGACAGUGGUGCCCUACUUGGAGCACCUGCAUGGCUAUCGAGAAGUGGAUGAGGAGGAAGAGGAGGAUGAGGAUGAGCUCUUCUUUGGGGAGAAUGAUGUCAUGUACCCUCAGGACUUCACACCCGCAGGUCGGCUGCAGGAGGACAGGCUGGAGCCCAAUGGUCACCAGGGUCGCCUGAGCGCAGGCCUGGCACUCAGGAGCCUGUGUGUAAACGGAACAGAUGGGGAGAGCGAUAUGGAGAACCUCUCUGCCUGCAGGACCAGACAGAGGUCGGAGCGACUCUCCAGCUCCUCAUCAAACCCUUCGCGGAAAGGAGUUUCCACCUAUAGCCGGAUUCGCAGGCUGUCUGCCUGCAAGCAGCAGUGACCCCACACCCCAGAGCACACACACUGGACAGAUUGAGCUCCACAAAACAAUCCACACCCCGCCCCGAUGUAAUGUGGUGUCUGAAGACAGGCCAAAAUGCAGCAUACUGGAAACCUCACCAAAUCACUUGAUGGACAGAUUGCAGUGGGGAACGGCGUUUUGAGAUGGACGUGUUGACUUCAUCAACCCCAGAUAAUAUUUUGGCCACGACUUGCUGCACUACACUGAUGAUGGUGGGACCUGCACUACACUACUACUCCCUGCACUGAAGGAAACCCCUAUACUGACUUUGAUGCUUUCACCACAACCGGCUGGCCCUUCAGGUGUCAGCUGAUUGGCUGGCAGGAAAUGAGAAUAGUGAUGAUGAUAAUGAGCAAGAUGAUGCAAGAGUGGGACAGGUGGGAGAAAUGCUGAGGAACGGCGGUAUGAGACUGUGUAGCUAUUCUCUCCACACCCCCCUCCCCCCCUCACUGAAUGAAUGUAGCUUGUUUUAGACUACAACACUGUUCACCGUGCAGUUUAGUCAGUUCAAAGUGCACAUUGUGGAUGUGUAUUGGAUCAUCUAAACGGACUGAGUUAUUUCAAUGAAUGCGGUAUGUUUGCAGUUAUUUUGAAAUGAAUAAAUGGCAUGAAAUGAUGUGCAUUGAGUAGGGGAGCCACACACCACAACCAUAUCUGAUGUGGAAUGUCUGAGUUUGGGUCUAUAUUAGCCUCUGUCUGGAUUGCUGUUUUACCUGAUUGUUUUCUUCCACGUUCUUUUUAAAUAUUAUUUAUAUAAAAUGCACUCCCAACCAGCAACAGCACA